GACGAACGCGGAAAGUUAGCACCCUUCCCUUGCUAACGGCUAACGCUACCUCCCGUCGGUGGUUUAGCCAGUUAACGUCUCUGGAAGCAUUUCAAAGCUCAUAUUAGCGCCGAUCAGACGAGCUUCUUGGCGAUAAAGAAAUCCUUGAGCCGCUUCAUCUGCCAGAAACCCACCGAGAGCAGCAGGAAGGUCUGCACCACAGCCCACCACAGCACGACGCUCUCCAGCAAAGACGGAGAAUCUGGUGGAGUUGGUUUGGAAGCAGAGGAAGUGCUGACCGGACGCAUGCGCUGUGAAGGUGAAUUUAGCGAAGAUGCCAUAGCGUUUGCUCAUCAAAACCUAGUGUGACGCCGAGUUGAGGCGAGCGGGUGGACGACUUCAAGUCCCACGGCUGCAACAGGAAAUAUCCUGAGGGGGAAAGAGAUACGCUCAGCUGAGCCGCCUGCCGACUCACCCGUCACCAGCAUGUCCUCGGGAAUCUCCUGAAUGACGCAUCGUUCCUCCUGCUCGCCCAGAUCGAAAUACAUGGCGGCCGCCAGCGUCAGGUAAGCCUGCAGGAAGAAGCCAGCCCGUCGUAGCCUCAUGGUCACUCCGCU